GUCGUCGUCGUGUUAUUGCUGCUGCCCCGAGCACAGCGUCUUGUUUCCUUGGCUUACCAGGUCCAUCUGCUGCUCCUCGUUCCUUGAUCGCGUCUCCUGCUCGUUGUCUUUAAUCCAUUCUCCUCGCAGGUUUCUGACGUUUCGUAGACGUGGUUAACGAUCCUUCUCAGAGUUUCGGCGAGGUCCAGCUCACUGCGCUGGCUGCGUACUCGUGCCAUGCGUGUUUGCCACAACAAACUUGUUCGAUUGAUCGGGUCUGGCCAGGGAUCGAUCCAACUACAACGAGUCGAAGUCAGCCAGUUGUUUAACGACUAAUGUGUUUUCCGAGCAGAUUUUUGUUCUUUUCAUGGUGUUGUUGUUUGUACUUUAACGUUGAAUGCUUUUGAAUUAUGUGUCGGAUAAUGAUGUAGGAAUGGUCGAAGGGAGAGGUUCUUGAGGUGCAACUACGGUCGUGAUUGCAGAGUAAAGCUUCGAGAACGGCACAGAGAUUCCGGCACCAUGUUGCAUCGUCUUCAGGGAUCUGUCUGCUGCUAAAACGAGGCGAGCUUGCGAGAGAUGGUGCAAGGGCAUUGCAAGUGAAGAUAUUGUAUCAUUUUGACAGAUAUGUAUUCAAGUUCAUUUUCUCCCUGCCUAAGUAUUCAUAGCAUUCGCCUACUAUACUAGACUGACUACAUUGUAUUAUGUAGGUGUAUUACCAAAUGAAAGAUUGGAAAUUGGGAGAGAAUAUGCUGUUUGUGUCAUGUAGUGCUUAUUGGCCAAAUCAAUCUAAGGUCAUAUUGUCACAGCUAGCAUUUGAUUGAUGUCGUAAACUGAUGUUGUGAUGAUCAGAACUUACGUAAAACUA